CCAGGACGUUGAUAGGCUGGGUGUGGAAGCGCAGCAAUGCGUUAAGCUAACCAGUACUAAUUGCUCGUGAGGCUUGAUCCU
rfam:Gallionellales bacterium RBG_16_56_9 RBG_16_scaffold_72484, whole genome shotgun sequence.